GAUUCCCCGUUCAUCAUUGUUUCAGCUGGUAUACGAGAGUCGCAAUGAAGUCUUUGGUCUUGCUGUUGGCGUUAACGCUGCUGUCCGCAGCCCUGUUAACGGAAGCGCAACGAUUCCCGGGAGGUGGAGGAUUUCCAAGGCCUGGCGGCGGCCGUAGAUGUGGAAACGUCUUCUGUCGCCCCGGACAGCGCUGCGUCUAUGAAAGAGUCGUGUGCAUACGAGCACCAUGUCCACCAAUUCCUCAAUGUCUGUGAGAGGACAGUUUCGACAGUUAGCAGCCUGCUGUCCACCAUCAUGCUGCUGUCAUUCACAGAUCACGUUC
rnacentral:lncRNA from 1 species